CAGUCGCCACGGUAAUACAGAGGGUGCGAGCGUUAAUCGGAUUUACUGGGCGUAAAGCGUGCGUAGGCGGCUUCUUAAGUCGGAUGUGAAAUCCCUGAGCUUAACGUGGGAAUUGCAUUCGAUACUGGUUAGCUAGAGUGUGGGAGAGGAUGGUAGAAUUCCAGGUGUAGCGGUGAAAUGCGUAGAGAUCUGGAGGAAUACCGAUGGCGAAGGCAGCCAUCUGGCCUAACACUGACGCUGAGGUACGAAAGCAUGGGGAGCAAACAGGAUUAGAUACCAGAGUAGUCCCUGUCUCUUAUAC
rnacentral:rRNA from 1 species